UACGAAGGGUGCAAGCGUUACUCGGAAUUACUGGGCGUAAAGCGUGCGUAGGUGGUCGUUUAAGUCCGUUGUGAAAGCCCUGGGCUCAACCUGGGAACUGCAGUGGAUACUGGGCGACUAGAGUGUGGUAGAGGGUAGCGGAAUUCCUGGUGUAGCAGUGAAAUGCGUAGAGAUCAGGAGGAACAUCCAUGGCGAAGGCAGCUACCUGGACCAACACUGACACUGAGGCACGAAAGCGUGGGGAGCAAACAGG
rnacentral:ncRNA from 6 species